UAGAAAACAAAUCACAAAAUAUUCACACUCCUAAAUACAUUGUUUCCUGUAAAGACAACCCAGCUCUGCCUACAUUUGUGUCUCAUGACUGUCAGAGGGACAAACAGGAUGUGGGAAGACAGGGUGUCCUCUGGACUCACAAGGGGAAUAGGAUAGCUGUGAGGGAACCUUCCCUUGCUCACCAAAACACAGCUUGUGGCAGCACUGUUUGCUUUUGCACUGGCAGUAUAACUAAUGUAACUGCUCCCCCAACAAAAUACAGCCUGACACAAUAAAGAUUGCAGUAAGAUAAGAAGUGCUGUUCAACAGUGUGAUCACAGUCCUUGCACUGUCUGAUUUCCCUUAGAGUCCAAUCUUUACAGUGGGGAGCAACCUGUGCUCCCACAGCAGUCACCUGACAGGUGUCAACACUCCCCAGGAUCAGGACUUUCCUGAAGCAAAGUAACUGAAGGAGUGAACUGAAAGGCUGCACAAAACUGAAAAAUGAUGAUGCAGUUUUUACCGUUUCUCUGGAGGUCACUGAGGGCAACAUGAAUGGAAAAAUUUCCAGCUUCACACAGCUGCAAGAAAAGGAAACAGAGCCUGCACCCCAAGAGCUGCCCUGUGCCACAGCAGCACUGGUGACAUUAGGGAAUGCUCCUGUGGAGAAGAAAAUGCAGAACAACUAAGCUGCUUUGCACUGGAUCAAAGACUAUGUUCUUCCUGAAGGGAGUAAGCAUGCCUUAGUGUGAUCUCACACUAGGGCAUACAAGAAUUUUCUUCAAGUCAAGAGUUAAGCCAAAGGGAGAUUGCUGUAAGUAUACUAACACUGAAAAUUCUGUUUGUGCUGCUGCUUUACAAUUGACUCUCAGUCUGAAGCUUCUCUUGCACUGAAAGGUACAAACUGUUGCAGAGGAUGGGUCUAAGGAUCCAUCUAGAAUUGGCUCUUUCUGAAACAGCCAGCAGCAGGUGACUCAGAAAAGGUAAUAAAACAGAGCAAGAAUAUAGUGACUGAGGAAAGGGGAGAGACAGACACAGUGACUUUGAUUCUCCUGCACCAGAAAUGCUGCCUAUGUAUUUAAUAACGUUUCAUGGAUUUCUUUCCUCAACUAGUUUACCCAUUUGCCUUUUAAACCUGUGCAAAUAGUCCUGAGGCAAGGGAGUCUCACAGCUUAGCCACACGCUAUGGGAGAAAUUCCAAAACCAGAACUAAGGCAAACAUUCAACCACAAAGCAAACUUUCAUCAUCUUACCUGUGGAGUGCUGAAUCUUACUCUCAAAGUAGCUCAGCUAAACAAAUCCUUACCUCUGAAGCAAUGGCUCAUAUUUCAUGAGACUAGAAUCUUAUUGCAUUAUUUCACUGUAUCGCCGUAUAAAGAGAUACGGUGAUGCCCAUACUCAAAGGGUUUUCUAAAACAAAUUUUCACUUUUGUAGACUUUAGGUGUCUAACAUUUACAGGUUCACAAGAGAUACACUAAGUAUUUACUCCUCAGCUUCCUAAGUUUUAUUCUUCUGCAAGCCAGAGAGCACCAGUAUUUGACCUGUGCUGACGUUCAUACUGCAUUUUUACUUCUUCCACCUGUUUCCGAUUUGCUCGUACGACAUGCUCUCAUCUAAAUCCCCCAGGAUAUUGAUCCAGUGAGCAUCUUUAUCCCAAGGUCAGCACAAUGCACAGCAUUUCGAUUCUUUCCAAAUGAAACUAAACUGUCAGCAAAGGAGGUGAUCUAGUUCUUCAUGCUUUACAUGUUAUAGUUAGACACACUACCAGGAAGUGGGAAAAUUGCUUUGGAAUGUCUUAUGCCAUUCCCAAUUUCUCCCACAGGCAGACCAAAAAUUACAGGCAGGAGAGGACUUCAGUGAAAAGGGCAAAGAGAAAGCCUGAAUUUCUGUAUCUCUGGGCUCCUUUUAUCACUGCUCCCUUCUAUUGUAAUUCUGUUCAGUAUUUCUCUACAGUAGAUGCCUUUUGGGAUAGCAAACAGCAAAGAGAUAAGGGUUGAAGUAAACUUGCACACCCUGACCAAAUUGUCCUACCUGAUCUUGGACCUGGAUGCCUAACCCAAAUACAUUGCAAAAUCCAAGUUGCUUUGUGAACCUGGGCCUAAGGAUGAUAACAGGUAGAGCUACAAAUGUUCAUCCUUCAGAAAGACAAAUCCAUUUACAUAAUUCACAGAGAUCAAAUGAGUCAGCAUAAGAACAGUGAGGAAGGAAAAGGAAGGUCUUUUCACUUGGGGUGGGAGGCUGAUUUAUUUUUCAAGAAAGGAAAAGUCAUUGAAGCUUUCACAGUGAAUUCUGGCUCCUGAAAAUCUACGAAAACUUUCCAGUUUUUACUACUAUGAGAUCUUUCAGGAGGAUACCCAAGAUGAAAAGGAGGGUCCAUCAGUUAAUACCGACUCGGUGAGCAUUCACUUACGCUGGCUAACACAGAGCUGCAUGCUGCCAAUUUCCCAGGCAUACUGAAAAGUCACAUCAUUCACUGAGUAUCACUGUCACUACAGAGCACAUUGGAGUGCCUCCAUCUGAGAACCUCAGCCAGCUUUAACUCAACACUAAGUAGACAUCCAGGUUUUUCAACAUCACUGCAGAGCCUUUUCCUUGUGCAAGAGAAUACUCACUGCCUUGGGGCUUUAGUUUAUCGUGGUUAUUUUCUACAAUGGCAAUAUUCAGGUAGAAGAGUUAUACAAAAUCUUUGUGAAAUCACAAUCAUAUAUCAGCACUGUGAUUUGCAUUAUCAAACGUAUGUAUUUCUAGUUUCAUUACUACUCUUUGUGCAUUAUUUGGUGUAAGGAUGUCAAAAUAUAUAUAAAGUGUAUGCUUUUGACAUGGAAUUGAAGGAAUUGAAGAGGUGGGGGGCGUUUUUUUCCUUUGAACCUAGAAGCAUCAAGAAUGAGUCUGCU